GACGUAGGGCGCGAGCGUUGUCCGGAUUUAUUGGGCGUAAAGAGCUCGUAGGCGGCUUGUCGCGUCGACUGUGAAAUCCCGCGGCUCAACCGCGGGUCUGCAGUCGAUACGGGCAGGCUAGAGUUCGGUAGGGGAGACUGGAAUUCCUGGUGUAGCGGUGAAAUGCGCAGAUAUCAGGAGGAACACCGAUGGCGAAGGCAGGUCUCUGGGCAACAACUGACGCUGAGGAGCGAAAGCGUGGGGGAGCGAACAGG
rnacentral:rRNA from 1 species